rnacentral:rRNA from 1 species
UACGGAAUGUGCAAACGUUAUUCGGAAUCACUGGGCUUAAAGAGUCCGUAGGCGGCUUGUUAGGUGAGGUGUGAAAUCCCCCGGCUCAACCGAGGAAUUGCGCUUCAAACCGGCGAGCUUGAGGAAGAUAGAGGUGGGCGGAACUGAUGGUGGAGCGGUGAAAUGCGUUGAUAUCAUCAGGAACACCGGAGGCGAAGGCGGCCCACUGGGUCUUUUCUGACGCUGAGGGACGAAAGCUAGGGGAGCGAACGGG